UUUCCGUAGGUGAACCUGCGGAAGGAUCAUUAUCGUAUAACCGAGGUGCGAGGGCUGUCGCUGACCUUUUCGGUCGUGCACGCCCGGGCGCACUCACACAAUCCAUCUCACCCCUUGUGCACCUCCGCGUGGGUCCCUUUCUGGCUCGUCCGGGGGGGGGCUCGCGUUGUCACACAAACUUGAAGUAGUGUAGAUUGUCCUUUUUUUGCGAUAAAACGCAAUCAAUAAAACUUUCAACAACGGAUCUCUUGGCUCUC
rnacentral:misc_RNA from 1 species